rnacentral:lncRNA from 1 species
UUGCCAUACCCAAAUUUUCGGUCUCCUGUGCUUCUUCGCAUCGCAAUAUCACUUUUGUCACAGCGUUCGCCAUUUUGUUUGAAACCGACUAACUACAGGUUCAACGAUGAAAAGUUCUCGAAUAUCUUGGGAAACACAUUCGUGAGAAAUAUUUAUUUUAGUAAAGAUCUUUCGGAAAUAAAUUUAUUCGAUUCGUUCAUCGUUCGUCCUUGACAACGUCCGUUCGGAAGAUGUCGUUGGCAGAUCAAAAUUGCAUUUUACGUUUCGACGGAUGGAAGUUUAAUGCGUCGCAAGAAAAAAAAAAAAAGAAGAAAAUAACGGAUAGGAGGUAAAGAGGCAAGUGUAUGAAUCAGAGACGUAGAUCGUGGCAUUGAUCAAGGUUCCUGAUCUAUCUAGAUUUACGGAUAAGAUUCACUAGAAAUAUGACGAUUUGGCACAUUGCUUUCCCAUGUGUAGGACAUUAAAAUGUCACCGAAACAAAGAGUAGGAUCAAAACCAGAGUAUCCUUGCAAUUUAUUAUUGGAUGUAGCUAAAGAUGCUGUAAAAGAUGAAAUUAUUUAACGAAAGAUAGGUGGACUCAUUUUCUACGACUCGGAAGAUAAAACAGAAAUCUAGAUAUUUACUGACGUCGGUAAGAAGAUUGAUAGGAGUGCUUACAAAACAGCAUUAAAAAGUUGGCAUAGAACCUCAACAGCU